UACGGAGGGUGCGAGCGUUAAUCGGAAUUACUGGGCGUAAAGCGCACGCAGGCGGUUUGUUAAGCUAGAUGUGAAAGCCCCGGGCUCAACCUGGGAUGGUCAUUUAGAACUGGCAGACUAGAGUCUUGGAGAGGGGAGUGGAAUUCAGGUGUAGCGGUGAAAUGCGUAGAUAUCUGGAGGAACAUCAGUGGCGAAGGCGACUCCCUGGCCAAAGACUGACGCUCAUGUGCGAAAGUGUGGGUAGCGAACAGG
rnacentral:rRNA from 1 species